CUGAAAGCAGCGAUCCACUUCCAAUGGUCAUGUCGUGCGUUUUACUUGGACCUGCACUCUGCGGGUUGUAAAAGAGAUCCGACCACCACACGAACAGCCACUGGGACCUGCAGCCUCCAGCUUACCAGUGCAGGAUAUCACAUUUCAUUCAUUAAAUUAUAGUUUGUUUUUGAGACAAGGUU